GAAAAUAAUAUAAUAAAAAAGGAUUGUGUGGUUUUUUUCACAUUAUAGACAUUUAAAUAAAAAAAAUGGAAUAAUAUUCCAUUAAGGGUAUAACAAUCGCUUUAUCAAUCUUAAUUUUAUAUUUGGAAAAUUGGAAUGAUAAUGGGAAAUGAUAAAAGUAGACUAUGUCUCCAACUAAUAUUUUUAUUGAACUCUGUGUCUUAGAGUACGACAUACAUAAUACUUAACAAUUAUUUAGAUUAUAUACACAUAUUAAAAAAACAAACGAAAUAGCGUGGAGCAUUGGCACAAAUGAGUAAUAGUCUAUACACUACACGGUCAACCGCUGCGAACUAUAGGCGCCGCCAUAUUGGCCUUGGCUGCUCUAACGGGCACCUUUCACUUUAUCCCUACUCCGAGGGCGACCGUCACGCAACAUGCAACACACAGACGAAAAAGUUUGAGACCAUGUAAUAAAAGUUUCACUUUAAUAGAAAUAUUUAUAAGUUAAACAUUAACGUUGUUUGUUUUUGAUCUUCAGAAAAAUGAUUUUCAAAUAGACAAAUACCAAGCCACAAACAGGCAAGGAGAUCAGAAUAUAAAACAUUUUUCAAAUGAAAACUUCAUCGGUACCGUUGUGGUUAGAAAAUCGAUGAAACUCAAAAGCACCACUAAAUAUAAACAAACAUUUACAUUAUUGGGAUUCAGCCUGCAAAAGAAUAACUAGAGUCUAUCUGAUGUUCAUAAAAUAAUAAGUGCUUACCACAAAAGGCUACUUAUAGAAUUCAUCAUCAAAUUAUUUACUGUCCAUAAACUGGAGGUGGCUAUCAAAUAUGAAACAGGCGAUAUAAAAGAGCAGCAUAUUACAAGCCUUCCCGAAUGGAUCACCGUCCAUGUCUGGGUCCCUCCCUGUUCAGAAGAAAUCGUGCGCAUCAUUUGAAGGAUCGGACAACCUUGAAUCGACGCAAUUAAGAUGCAUCUUAAGUCUGAAGAUUAAAAGCGGCAUCCUAAUAGUGCUGUAAGUAUCGUGGCUGUAAGUCAUCGUAGCCU